GGUUACCAAGUGCUACCUUCUUAGCAGCAGACCUGUGUAAAGUUAACAUAAAUCUUUGUUCUUUGCCAAAAGGCCACAGCAAAUGAUCUCUGGAGGCCUUUUCUGGCUCUAAGACAGGUCUUCAAUUCUUGGAUGCCUUCUUGUAAUCCUUCUGGAAUGACUUGGACUCUUUUCCAGUCUACUUGGGAUAGGUUUCUUGUACAGCCUGAAGAGAGCAGUGAGUAGCCUGCAUAGUCUGUCACCCUCCCUUUGGUCUAAGAAUCUCUGGUGACUUGUAGGACUCUUAUUUAUGGUUGUAGUUAUAUUCUAACACUGGAAUUCUCCACAGACUGCUGCUCGGAGAAGUUCAAUGUCUCUGAGACGGUUUCAGUGAAAGAAUUCUAUCAAAAAGAAUUUGCUGAAUUGUGAUUGCAAACAAAAUAGCUUUGUGGGGACAAAAUGUACUCCUCACAAGGGAGCCUUAUGUUUAUUUUCCAGCCUCUCCUCCCAGUGCUUCACUUCUGAUCUCUCUGCAGAAAGAAACAUUUCAACAGAGUACCCCCGCUCCCCGUGGAAACUGAGACAAUUAUCUUCCCAAAGCCCUGAACUCCCCUUCCUACUUCCGAAGGAGCCCCUCUGUUCACAGCUGCUAAAGCUAGCCGGAAGUCCGGUUCCUUCCCCAGGCAGUUCUUUUUGGAUUGUGGAUGCACACCUUUCUAAGCAUUGUGGUCUCCAAAUCAUCUAUCCAUGAUGGAUGACAUGACCAUGAAUCUUUGCUUAAAUAUGGACUCCUGAAAUAUCAUAAAAUCCCAGAGCAUCGGAGCUGGACAAAGGCCAUCUGGAUAUUUUGUCUGAGGCUCAGAGAAGACAAGGACCUUAUUUAAGGUCACACAGUGAGUUAGCUGCAGAAUUAGGACUCAGAUUCCGUUCUGUAUUCCUCAGGUCAUUGAAUCAAAGGCUGAAUUCCAUUCCUUUACAUGGCACUGGAUGCCCCACACGAUGGAGGACCUUUCUGGCAGAGCACAAUGUCCCACAGGAUUACACUGAACCAGAGGGUCCAGAUGAUAGGUGGCACAGUGGGUUGCCCUGCCACUGAGGAGUCAAUUCUAAACCACAACGGGCAUUUUUAUGGCAUGCAGCUGUACCCUAAGGAAGGAGGAGCAAGGUGAUCAACAGACAUUCAGAAGAUGGAGAAAACAGUCUCAUGAUAGUUCCUUAUCAGGCGGCUUAUUUCCCUUGCUCCAGGAAGAGUUGGUGUUCUCUGAAGGCACAGGUAAGACUAUGGUCAAGCCCUGAUUAAGUGGUCCAUGUGUGACAAAAAUACCUUUGGGGCAUUAUGUGGUG
rnacentral:lncRNA from 1 species